UACGUAGGGUGCGAGCGUUAAUCGGAAUUACUGGGCGUAAAGCGUGCGCAGGCGGUUUUGUAAGCCAGAUGUGAAAUCCCCCGGGCUUAACCUGGGAAUGGCAUUUGGGACUGCAAGGCUCGAGUGCGGCAGAGGAGACUGGAAUUCCUGGUGUAGCAGUGAAAUGCGUAGAUAUCAGGAGGAACACCGAUGGCGAAGGCAGGUCUCUGGGCUGACACUGACGCUCAUGCACGAAAGCGUAGG
rnacentral:rRNA from 1 species